rnacentral:lncRNA from 1 species
UUUCACUCUGACCUUGGUAUAAAUUAGGGAAGGGGCAAGAAUGGCAGCAGAAACAACAGUGGAGAUGUAUUAAUAGUUUAGGGAAAAGGAAAUGAAGACUGAAAUUAAGAUGAAGGGUUAACAGCCAGGUCCUUGCCUGCUGUGCAGUCUGAUGAAAGACUUCAGCCUCUGCUCAAUCACCUCAGUUUGAUAAAGGUUACUCUUAGAACAUCCGUCACAGCUUUGGAAAGGAAGGCAAGAGGACAGACUAUACACCUUUCAGUUGCCUGAAGAUUAUUCUAUCCAAUCCACCAAGCCAAGGGGAUUAUCA